rnacentral:lncRNA from 1 species
AUGGUAGUCAUCCCAAUAGCCAGCGUAGCCUCUUCCCUGGCUUCUAAGAUGAUGGCAUCCAAGAUGGUGGCAGUGAGCCUGGCCAAAGCCACCUCGGCGGCAUGCGGCAGUGCCCUUGCUGGACUUCCGUCCACAGGACUCGCCUUGUCAUCCAGCGCUGCCCUGAGCCAGGCCACAGCUUCCCUGGGAUCCCUGCUGGGGACACUGAGUGGCUCCGUAGUAUCCCCGGCUUCAGCCUUGAUUAUUUCCCCGCUCGGAGGUAACUGGCCCUGGGGAACAACCCCCCCCCUUUUGGGGCUCCACUCUAUGCAGGGAAGUGUGACAAGGAAUAGACCUGGGCCACAGCCAGCAGCCCUCCCCUUUUGCCAGAAAUAUAAGGACUCCCGAGCUUGUGAUAAGCAAUCCAUGAAAGAAUAACAACAGCUAGAUUUUAGCACACACUGUGUGCUCUCCAUAUUUAGCGCUUAGAAUAUUUAUCAAUUGGUUUAAUUGUCAUAACAACCGCAGAGGAAGAUAACCUCGUCCUUCCUGUACAAACAAGGAAAUGCUGGCCAAGAGCCCUGGACAGGGUGGCAGGGCUACUCCCAAGCCUGGGACAGGGAGUAGAAUAAUAAUGAAGAUCUGGUCUGGGGAGGAGGCCUCAGGGCAGGUUCCGGAAGGACCUGGCCACCCUCCCCAGGGAUGACAAGUGGGGGCGCCCAGCAGCGGGCUAACCAAGCACACAGCACCCAUUUCCCAUGGGCCUUCUGUGUACAUAGGGGCCCAGGUAGCCCAAGCUUCCGGCCAGCCUGGCAUCAACUUUCCUGCAAAACAAUACUGUUGAAUAGCAAAUACCUUCUAAUUGGGCUUUUAUUUUUUUUUUAAUUUUAAAUAAUUUUUUAAUGUUUAUUUGUAUAUUUUGAGAGAGACAAAGAGAGCACACGAGCAGUGGGGAAGGGCAGAGAAAUCAGGAAAACCCCAAGCAGGCUCCACGUGGUCAGCCCAGAGCCUGAUGUGGGGCUUGAACUCACGAAACCGUGAGAUCACGACCUGAGCCAAAAUCAAGAGUCAGAUUCUUAACCCCCUGAGCCCCCCGGAUGCCUCUCUAACCAGGCUUUUGGUUCUUGAGUCUCUGACUCCAUACCCCACCCCAGGUGGCCCCUCUAGUCACCCAGGGUUUGGCUUUCACCUUUAACCUCCUUUACCAUCACUCCUAGGCUCUCUUCCCGGGGAGCUGGAUGAGUUCGUUCCUGCACGUCUUUCUAUCUUUUGCAGUCCCAUCCCCUAUGGCUUCAGCAGGCCAAGACCUCUACCUUCCCCCCUCCUUCCCUCAGGGACCCACAUGCCUGGAGAGCCAGGCUCAAGCACAACUAGAUACAGUCUAGUGCUGUGAGCGGCUGCAGCCCCAGGGGAACAGUGAGGAGUUCUGAUUGGGAGCAUCUGGGGUGGCUUCCCCGAGGAGGAGGCAAUAGAUGGGGCCUUGAAGAAUCCAGGACAAUGACUCAUUCAAGCAUUGCUCCCAAGGAGGGUUCACGUGCUCAACAGUCCUGACUUCAGCCAGUGCAAAAUCAAGCAUAUCUCUCGACAGGAGGAUGUGUUGCUGUCUGAAGCACUUUUUCUGGACAAUAGGAGAGUGUUACAUAAUCUCCCACUAACAAAACAUUGACCCUGAACUAACAUCCUUCCUCAGAGAGCGUGUUCUGUUUCCUUGUCUGCACCAAACCACCACCGCCUAAAUUACUUCCUCCAGUAUUCCUCAGUCACUGAUAAGGGAUGUGGCCAGAGCAUGCCUGUGUUUCCACAUCUGUAGCGUUUUGUUCGGUUUUGUUCGAAAUGAACCAGAUUAAGGCACAGAGAAAGCGAAGGGUCUGAUCUCCUCACAAACAGCCAACCAACCAAUCCACAGACAGAUUAAAACACACACACACAUACACACACACGCAGCAAAAGCUGUGAUAAUUGGGUUUUCUAAAACAAGGACUUCGAAGCCUGUCUCCAGAUAACUUGAGGUCAAGGCAUGUGAAUCCCUUCGGGACAAGUCAUUUGCAUCUGGAAUCAGACUCCCCAGCAAUCCGCACCAAGUUCAGGGCUGCGGGGGCCACCUUCCCAAGAAAUCCCGCUUGUCCAAGUGAUGCAGGGAGGGGUCAGGGGCAGUCAUCCCCCCCGGUCUCCCAAGCUGGGCAGCGACCUUCCCACAGAUGGGCUGUAGGCGCAGGGAGUGAAGGGGAGGCCAGCGUGGAUCCACUCACAAAAUGUUCUUUUGGUUUCCAGCCAAGGCCGGUGCAGCUGUGAUAGGAGGAGGUGAGUCUCUGCAGGGAAGAGGUUCAUGUUCUCAUCUGCCCCCCAACCCCCAAGGACUUGGGGAGCAACCAUCCUGGUCCAGGCCCAGGUUUGCCUGGCCUCACAUAGAUGGUGGAGGGGGAGGUGGAUCAGUGGAGAUGAGCAGGAAGUAGGAAAUGAAGAGUGUUGUGGAAACUCCACAUGGACACAGUCCCAGCAGGGUCCCCAAUGCCCACUUUGCAGGGCAUUCAUUGUGUGACCUUGGGCAAGUCUUUGAACUCCUCUGGGCUCCCCUUUCCUCUUGUGAAAAAUGGGCUAAUAUUGUCCAUUCAGGGUUAUCGUGAGAGUUGCCCAGGAUGAGAUGUGCAGAGUUUGAAUCAGCACGUGCACAGAAGAGAAGUCAUGGACUUAGGGACCCAGGGCUUGGGUGGAGAUGCCCUGGACCCCCAGAGUUGGGAGGGAAGCAGAGCUUUGCCCGUGCUCCUUACUUACCCUAAUCCCCUGAGUGGGAUUUACUGGUAUUAAAGAUUUCCUCUUCAAAGACCGGAAGCUUUCACAACACUCCCUCCUUCUGGCAUCUCACAAAGGCAGAAUCUGAGGCCUGGAGGACAGGUGACUUUCCCAAGGAAGGUCCAACUGCAGAGCGGGGCCCACGGGGCCCACAGCCCUGUCCCUAGUGACCCCACAAGACCUUCUCCCCGCGUUCCCCGCCUAGUUGUGUCCUCUUUACCCAUGACUGCUGGCCAUGCCCUUAGUCUCUCUUGAGCUCAGAGUUCACCCCCUCCAUCCAGACCCCUGAAGACCCCUAAGCCUGACUGAGGAUGUGUGGGGGUCCCAUUCCCUGAGCCCUUCUCUCAACCCAUCUCCUCAUCCCCGCAGCCGUGGCCGUGGGGGCCGUGCCCGUCGUGCUGGGCGCCAUGGGCUUCACCGGGGCGGGAAUUGCCGCCUCUUCCCUAGCGGCGAAGAUGAUGUCCAUUGCCGCCAUCGCCAACGGGGGCGGAGUUGCUGCGGGGAGCCUGGUGGCUACGCUUCAGUCCGUGGGUUAGUGUCCCCAUCCCCAUCCCCGGCUAUGCGCUUGCUAUGGAGGCCGAGGAGGACAGGAGCCUCAGGACCCAGCGCAGAUCUGAGCCCCACUGAUCGUCAGCCUCUGUUCCUCCGAGUCACCCUCCACGUUCUCUCUGGGUUUCGCCCCGGGAGGUAUAGGAGGAGGGGAAGGAGUCCUGGCCCAGGUAGUCAGGUAGUCAGGCUGACUACCCAAAGUGGGUUCGCUGGCUUACUUGGGGAUCGAUGCCCACCUGGGCUCAGCCUUCAUCCCUAGAGGGGUACGGCUCCCUGUUCUGGAUUUCUCUAUGGGACUGCGUGCCACUGGGCUCCUUGAAGCUGCCCUCCUAAAGCGGAGAGCCUGGGGACUUUGGGAAACAGGAGGGUGCUGGGUGGGGUCUCUGGGCCUCAGACCUUCCUGAGGGGCUCUGGAGUCUUCGACCCCAUGGUUUUAUCCUACGGAACUGCCCCAGGUCUGCCCUUCCUGUUCUGCUCACCCUCUGCUUUUCCUCCAGGAGCGACUGGACUCUCACUGUCAUCCAAAAUCAUCGUGGGCUAUGCUGGGUCUGUCCUUGCAUCUGGCAUGGUCGGCCUGUAGGGGUUUGCCGCCUCUCUGGCUGCAGAGAAGAGCUCCUGGUAGGGCCUCGACUGCCAGCACCAUGCGGGGAGGGACAGAGUCCUUGGGUGAUGGUGUGCCCCAAACACUGCCCCCCAGAGGAAAAUAAAGAAUAAAAAAUAGUUGUUGCAUCCCCUCCUGGCUCCCCUGCCUCUUGCUCCAAGUCAGGGGGUCGUGGAGGGGGAGGGAAGGGUCACUCCUCUUUGCCAGACUUGUACUCAUA